UGGGGAAUAUUGGACAAUGGGCGAAAGCCUGAUCCAGCCAUGCCGCGUGUGUGAAGAAGGCCUUUUGGUUGUAAAGCACUUUAAGUGGGGAGGAAAAGCUUAUGGUUAAUACCCAUAAGCCCUGACGUUACCCACAGAAUAAGCACCGGCUAACUCUGUGCCAGCAGCCGCGGUAAUACAGAGGGUGCAAGCGUUAAUCGGAAUUACUGGGCGUAAAGCGCGCGUAGGUGGUUAUUUAAGUCAGAUAUGAAAGCCCCGGGCUUAACCUGGGAACUGCAUCUGAUACUGGAUAACUAGAGUAGGUGAGAGGGGAGUAGAAUUCCAGGUGUAGCGGUGAAAUGCGUAGAGAUCUGGAGGAAUACCGAUGGCGAAGGCAGCUCCCUGGCAUCAUACUGACACUGAGGUGCGAAAGCGUGGGUAGCAAACAGGAUUAGAUACCCUGGUAGUCCACGCCGUAAACGAUGUCUACCAGUCGUUGGGUCUUUUAAAGACUUAGUGACGCAGUUAACGCAAUAAGUAGACCGCCUGGGGAGUACGGCCGCAAGGUUA
rnacentral:rRNA from 1 species